AUUAGUGUAUUAUAUUCUAAAAUAUGUGUGAAAUAAAAUAAUGAUGUUAAUAUUUUUCGUCGCUGAAUGUAAAUUUAUGAUGUCAAAGUUAAACUGAUUUCAUACAAAUUGUGAAAAACUUUACUCCGAUGAACAAUUAUUAAUGUCAACCAAUCUCUUUUCAGUGGUUUGGUGCGCAUGGUGGAGCAUCGCAGAUAUUUAUGAUGAUUUGGGCAUAUGAUUUCCGUUAUAUCUGCACCGUUCAUUGCUCAAGAGUAUAUAUGUGGAUAAAGCUUUCUGUAUUGGAAUUCACCUUGCAACUCAUUUCGAUUCUCAUGAUGGUUGUGACUUUCUAAUCAUAUAAUCGAAAUGAAGCGAUGUCUUACAUGUUUCCCAAAAUUGUUGGUCCUUGUUUUUGAAGCCACAAUAAUGAAGAAGAGCUCAAUUCUUAUUCUGAAAUGCUGAGGAAGGAAACAACUUUUUGAUAAAAAUCAGCUGUUAAUGUGGGACUGCCAUAACUUAAUACAACCUGGGCACUUAUCUGGACCCCGCUCUAAAAUGAUCAGCUUGUUUAGAUAUGAAGAUGAGGGCAAAAGGAUUACUUUGGAAAUGUGGACUUACAGCUGUUAAUCUGGGAUUGCCAUAAGCUAAUACAAUCUAGGCAUUUAUCUGGACCUCAUUUUAAAAUGAUCGGCUUGCUUAGAUAUGAAAAUGAGGGCAAAAGGAUUACAUUGGAAAUGUAAGUAAUCAAAAGUAAAAAAAAAUGCAUUUAUAUCAUUUAUGAUGAAAUAUUUUCGGAUUCCCCUUCAUUUGACUGAUAAAUGACUACAUCCAAACUGAAACAUAACUACAAACUCAUAAUGUAAUUAUUAUUUUGCUAUUUCUAUAAAGUAACGGCCUUCUUUUGUUUUGCAGAUGGACUUGCUGUUGCCUAUUCAUUUAUAAGGUAUGUUACUACACGUCAACCCUGCGCAGCACUUGAUCAACUCUUUAAAAUUUGAUACUUUUGACAUAUGUUACUAAUAUUUAAAAUAAAUAAAAAUAAAACAAACUAAACAAUGA